rnacentral:rRNA from 1 species
GACGUAGGGCGCGAGCGUUGUCCGGAUUUAUUGGGCGUAAAGAGCUCGUAGGCGGCUUGUCGCGUCGAAUGUGAAAUCUCAGGGCUCAACUCUGACAUUGCAUUCGAUACGGGCAGGCUAGAGUUCGGUAGGGGAGACUGGAAUUCCUGGUGUAGCGGUGAAAUGCGCAGAUAUCAGGAGGAACACCGGUGGCGAAGGCGGGUCUCUGGGCCGAAUGACUGACGCUGAGGAGCGAAAGCGUGGGGAGCGAACAGG